GUUUCCAUAAAAGUGAAUGCAGUCAUUAACUUUAAGGGUUUUUAUGGGUCUGUAUUAUUGACUUAAUGUUUAGGAUGCCAACAGAUGAUGAAUAGUUCAAAUGGCUCAAUUAUUAGACGGCAAUUAUUAGUAAAUAUUGUUGUCUGGGAAAAUGAUAUCCUAAAGUAAGAUGAAUUAUAAUGUAAUAAGAUGAAAAUGAAAAAAGAUCCUGCAGCUUUGAGCAUAAAAUGCCUUUGUGUUUGACUUCACAGCCGUCUCUCGGCAGCUGUCUGACCCCAUUCGGCCCAGAACAGAAAGGCAACACUCUGCUUCAAACUGCUAGGCCUUCUCAGAUUACUUCAUGAAUGGCCAUCAGCAGUACUCCCAUAAGCAGCUCCUGAAGAGACUAAAGCCGGCUCCUCCGGAGACCCAGUGCAGAAGAAGAGCUGUCAGUCACAGGACCUGUGGCCAGAAAUCCCAUCCCUGUUUUAAGGACCUGCACUGUUUGUUUUCAUGUGACUGAACAUGCUUCCCAGCAUGCCUUUGGGCUUCAGCAGUUUACAAAGGCUAUCUGUUUCACAGGUGCCAAUGGUAACAGCCUGGGGCUUAUUAUGGAGCACAUUUCUUAUGGUUAUUUGUCUGCCUGCAAUACCAGCAUAGGGUGUUAUGGCUUUAACCAGAAAUUUCCUACACCAUAUCUCUCUUUAUUUUCCUCUGUUUCUGUUUGUCUGCCAGUCACUUCUUGUUUUUCUUUCACUCAUUUUGUGACUUCCAUGUAGCAUCAAGCACAACACACAUUACUGGUGGCUCUAAUUUUGUCUACUUCUUUGUGUGUGUGUGCGUGUGUAGUUGUGUUUAUUUAUUCAUGAACAUACUAGUAGGCAGAGGUCAGCUCGUCACUCACAGGGACACAGCUGCAUGGGAAAAAUUAUAUCCUAAAAAGAAUAAUUCAAAGACUCAAACAAGUACAACACAGCAGUGCACAUUUUUUUUUUAUUAUUUUUUUUUUUU
ensembl:lncRNA